GGCCGAGGGAGGGAGGGACGGAGGGAGGGCGGCAGUGACGAGGGGUGCGUGGGGGAUCGUGUGCGUGGGGAAUCAGGCCUAAGAACUUGGUGAGGGAAUUGCCUGUCCGGAAGUGGCCUCCGAACACGCCGCGCCCUCCCCAGCAGUCAGCCCAAGUUCCUGCCCUCCCUCCAGCGGCCAGGCCUGAUGUAUGGGUGGACAGAUUUCCGUGGCCCUAGGAUGUGCAAAAGUCCUGGAGUGCAGCUGCUGGACAGGUUCGGGGAGUGUGGGCAGGCUCUUGGCAGAGGGGCUGUGGCGUUUGGCACCCCACAUGCAAUGAGAGAGGCACCCACGAAGGCAUGAGACCUGUAGUACGUGAGGACAGCUGCACACCUCGCAGGAGGAGGUGGCACCUGGAAGUUGCAGCUGGCACAGGAACCUACAUGGGCUCUGAGCUGGGCCCAGGCUUGACUGCUCUUCAGUGUGGGUGACUGGCAGUGAAGAGGAACAUACUGAGGACAGUGUCCUGAGCCCGUGGCCCCUGCACCACCCAGUGCGUGGGAGGUGGGUCCUGGACUCCAGGAGGGCCAGGCUGGGGCCAGGGCCACCCCCAGGAGGUUCCCAGGGACCACAGCUCCCUGCCAGGAAGAAGGUAGAGGAGAUGACAGCACUGCCCCCAGCACAGGCGAUCCACGCGGGGAGCAGGGUCUGUCCCUCAGCCCGGGACCCUCAAGUCCUCUCCCUGCUCUCCAAUCCGGGGCAAUGGAGAGCUCCGGCCCCUGCUGAGGCCCCACUCCUUCCUCUCGGCUCCUGGGCGGGGCUCUGUGUCUUGCUGUCCUGCUGUGGUUGGGGACCAGAGGUUACCAGGUGCUUCUCCAGUUCUCAGUGGCCAAGAUAAUAGUAGGAGCAGUGCUCUUCAUUUAUACAGUUUUGUCAUUGCGGUCUCACGCACAUUAUUUCACUGUCAUGCACAACCAGGAAGUGCACUGACAGGUGUUCUGUGUGGUCGCAGGCCAGGGCCUCUGGCUUCCUGAAGUACCACACAGCCUGGCAAGUUGGGGGGGGCACAGUGAGUGGGUCUUCCGAGUCCCAGCCCCAGCAGCAAGGCUCUGCUAGGUUAAUCUGGCUGCCCCUGGUGUAUCCCCGUGUUUGCUUUCUCUUGCCCCUUAAACUGCCUUAUGAAAACCAAUAAAAAGUG
rnacentral:lncRNA from 1 species